rnacentral:rRNA from 1 species
UUUUUGAAGUCUUCGGAUGGAUAGAAGAACCCCUGAUGCCGUCGAGCCAAGAAAAGUUUCUAAGUUUAGCUAAUGUUGCCCGUACCGUAAACCGACACAGGUGGGUGGGAUGAGUAUUCUAAGGCGCGUGGAAGAACUCUCUUUAAGGAACUCUGCAAAAUAGCACCGUAUCUUCGGUAUAAGGUGUGGUUCGCUUCGUAUUAGGAUUUACUCCGAAAGCGAAGAAACUUACAACAAAGAGUCCCUCCCGACUGUUUACCAAAAACACAGCACUCUGCUAACUCGUAAGAGGAUGUAUAGGGUGUGACGCCUGCCCGGUGCUCGAAGGUUAAUUGAUGGGGUUAGCAUUAGCGAAGCUCUUGAUCGAAGCCCGAGUAAACGGCGGCCGUAACUAUAACGGUCCUAAGGUAGCGAAAUUCCUUGUCGGUUAAAUACCGACCUGCAUGAAUGGCGUAACGAGAUGGGAGCUGUCUCAAAGAGGGAUCCAGUGAAAUUGUAGUGGAGGUGAAAAUUCCUCCUACCCGCGGCAAGACGGAAAGACCCCGUGGACCUUUACUACAGCUUGACACUGCUAUUUGGAUAAGAAUGUGCAGGAUAGGUGGGAGGCUUUGAGUAUAUGACGCCAGUUGUAUAUGAGCCAUUGUUGAGAUACCACUCUUUCUUAUUUGGGUAGCUAACCAGCUUGAGUUAUCCUCAAGUGGGACAAUGUCUGGUGGGUAGUUUGACUGGGGCGGUCGCCUCCCAAAUAAUAACGGAGGCUUACAAAGGUUGGCUCAGAACGGUUGGAAAUCGUUCGUAGAGUAUAAAGGUAUAAGCCAGCUUAACUGCAAGACAUACAAGUCAAGCAGAGACGAAAGUCGGUCUUAGUGAUCCGGUGGUUCUGUGUGGAAGGGCCAUCGCUCAAAGGAUAAAAGGUACCCCGGGGAUAACAGGCUGAUCUCCCCCAAGAGCUCACAUCGACGGGGAGGUUUGGCACCUCGAUGUCGGCUCAUCGCAUCCUGGGGCUGGAGCAGGUCCCAAGGGUAUGGCUGUUCGCCAUUUAAAGCGGUACGCGAGCUGGGUUCAGAACGUCGUGAGACAGUUCGGUCCCUAUCUGCCGUGGGCGUAAGAAGAUUGAAGAGAUUUGACCCUAGUACGAGAGGACCGGGUUGAACAAACCACUGGUGUAGCUGUUGUUCUGCCAAGAGCAUCGCAGCGUAGCUAAGUUUGGAAAGGAUAAACGCUGAAAGCAUCUAAGCGUGAAGCCAACUCUAAGAUGAAUCUUCUCUAAGCUCUCUAGAAGACUACUAGUUUGAUAGGCUGGGUGUGUAAUGGAUGAAAGUCCUUUAGCUGACCAGUACUAAUAGAGCGUUUGGCUUAUCUUUAAUAAAGCAU